AAAAAGGCAAACCGUGGGUUCCCGUGCCAACGUUUGACUGUCCAUUUUAUAUGAAUUUUUUUUAUAAUUAAUAUUUUUAUUGUUGUUAGAUGAUAAAACAUGAUUAAUACUUUAUGCGUGACUUAUCUUUUUAAUUUUUUAUAAUUUUUUUAAAUAAGAUAGACGGUCAAACGUUGAACACGGAAAUCAGGGUUUGUCUUUUU
rnacentral:pre_miRNA from 1 species